AGCUUUUCACAGUGGCUGUAUCAUAGGCAAUGAAGUUUACCUGAGGCAUGAUUAUUGCUAAUGGAAACAUUAGACAGAUUCUGUCUUCUACAGUAUCUGUGAUUCUUAAGGUUGGGUGGAAAGG
rfam:Canis lupus familiaris chromosome 17, whole genome shotgun sequence.